GAUUAAGAACGCAGCGAAAUGCGAUAAGUAGUGUGAAUUGCAGAAUUCAGUGAAUCAUCGAAUCUUUGAACGCACAUUGCGCCCCUCGGUAUUCCGUGGGGCAUGCCUGUUCGAGCGUCAUUUAACCCCUCAAGCCUAGCUUGGUAUUGGGUGCUUGUCCCGCCUCUCGCGCGGCGACUCACCUCAAAGUCAUUGGCAGCCCGCAUCUCGCCGGCCGUGAGCGCAGCACAGACGCGCUCUUGGCAACGACGGAUCGGCUCUCCAAAAGCUUAUUUCAACCACUGACCUCGGAUCAGGUAGGGAUACCCGCUGAACUUAAGCAUAUCAAUAAGCGGAGGA
rnacentral:misc_RNA from 1 species